AUUGAACGCUGGCGGCAGGCCUAACACAUGCAAGUCGAACGAGUGGCGGACGGGUGCGUAAUGUCUGGGCAACUGCCUGAUGGAGGGGGAUAACUACUGGAAACGGUAGCUAAUACCGCAUACCAUCGGAUGUUCCCAGAUGGGAUUAGCUAGUAGGUGGGGUAAAGGCGAACCUAGGCGACGAUCCCUAGCUGGUCUGAGAGGAUGACCAGCAACACGGGAACUGAGACACGGGCCAGACUCCUACGGGAGGAAGCAGUGGGGAAUAUUGCACAAUGGGCGCAAGCCUGAUGCAGCCAUGCCGCGUGUAUGAAGAAGGCCUUCGGGUUGUAAAGUACUUUCAGCGGGGAGGCGUUACCCGCAGAAGAAGCACCGGCUAACGCCGUGCCAGCAGCCGCGGUAAUUC
rnacentral:rRNA from 1 species